rnacentral:rRNA from 1 species
AGGUCUUGCCUGCCCAGUGAAUAAUUAAACGGCCGCGGUAUUUUGACCGUGCGAAGGUAGCGCAAUCACUUGUCUUUUAAAUAAAGACCUGUAUGAAUGGUGGAACGAGGGCUUAACUGUCUCCUCCCUCAAGUCAAUGAAAUUGAUCUGCCCGUGCAGAAGCGGACAUAAAAAUACAAGACGAGAAGACCCUUUGGAGCUUAAGAUAAAAAUUAUCUAUGUUAAAAAUCAAAUAAAACUGAAUUAAACCAAAUAGCACCUAAUUAUUAAUCUUCGGUUGGGGCGACCACGGGAGAAAACAAAGCUCCCAUGAGGACUGGGGCCAAACCCUAUAACUAAGAAAGACAUUUCUAAGUAUCAAAACAUUUGACCACAAUGAUCCAGCUAAAGCUGAUCAACGAACCAAGUUACCCAAGGGAUAACAGCGCAAUCCUCUUUAAGAGUCCAUAUCGACAAGAGGGUUUACGACCUCGAUGUUGGAUCAGGACAUCCUAAUGGUGCAGCCGCUAUUAAGGGUUCGUUUGUUCAACGAUUAAAGUCCU